rnacentral:rRNA from 1 species
AGAGUUUGAUCAUGGCUCAGAAUGAACGUUGGCGGCGUGGAUUAGGCAUGCAAGUCGUACGGGCCGCAAGGCCAGUGGCGCAAGGGUGAGUAAGGCGACGGUAACCAACCCCACGGGUGGGUAUAGCCGCGGGAAACCGCGGGUAAUCCCCAGCGACGCACGGCCUUGGCAUCGAGGCCUUGCCAAAGCUCAGGCGCCGUGGGACGGGCCGCCGUGGUAUUAGGUAGUUGGCGGGGUAACGGCCCACCAAGCCGACGAUGCCUACCGGGCGUGCGAGCGUGGCCCGGCACACUGGGACUGAGACACUGCCCAGACUCCUACGGGAGGCUGCAGUCGAGAAUCUUCGGCAAUGGGCGCAAGCCUGACCGAGCGACGCCGCGUGGAGGAUGAAGGCCUUCGGGUUGUAAACUCCUGUCGAGGGGGAAGAAGGGCCGAGAGGCCUUGACUGAUCCCUGGAGGAAGCACGGGCUAAGUUCGUGCCAGCCGCCGCGGUAAUAC